rnacentral:lncRNA from 1 species
GUGAGUGGUCAUAAACAUUUUGACUGAAAAAAUUAGAUGUUAAAUGUGAAAUAAAUUUAUAUGCAAUGCAUUUUGCAGACGAUCCUAAAAUUGCAAUCAAAUUACACAAUGAUUCAAAUGUUGUCUCUUGUGAGACUGAAAGCUCCCUACCUAUGACUGUAUCCUGGAAGAUCUGCCCAUUACAUACUAAUUGUAAUAAUGAAGGCUGGAAAGAGAUAUCUGUUGCCCAGCCCAAGGUCAUGGAUUCAGAUCAGUUCUGUCAGAAGAAAAUUUACUUUGCCAGACCCAGAUCGAACAGCGAGGACCAUUUUAUGAAAUGCUGCAUCUCUAACAAAGCAGGGACUGAAUGUAGUGACCAAAUACGACUUCCAACAAUUUUCCCCAGUAUUGAUUAUGUGAUUUGUUUCCUGGUCAUCUUUAUUCUCCUCGCGAUCAUCUUUGCCUUAAUCAUCUUCAUCAGAGUUAAGGUAAACCUAUACCUGCUUCUGUCAUAAUAACAAACAAACACCUAGAAUCAUAGCUCUUACCUCUUCAAACACAUGCUCUCACUCCUUUGUUACAGAAGCCUGGGUACCAGUGUCAGAUCCAGAUGAUUCAGAUGAUCGGACCCAACGACAAUGACUACAUAUAUAUUGACUUCAGGGAGUUUAAGUAUGACCUGAAAUGGGAAUUUCCACGAGAAAAUCUUGAGCUUGGUAAAGAUCACCAGGAACUUUCUUUAGACUUGCUAUAUAUAACGUAUUAGGUGUUACGCAUUUGUUUUGUGUGCUUUCUAAAGGGAAUGAGCUGGGAUCUGGAGCUUUUGGGAUGGUUGUACAGGCUACAGCAUAUGGGAUCAGCAAGCCUGGAGUGUCUAUUCAGGUAGCAGUAAAAAUGUUAAAGGGUACGUAAUGAUAUAAUUAGCAUUAAGUCUCUACAAAGCUAAAUAUAUCAACUGCAUACAUC